UUACAGCAAAUCAUUGCAUAUUAAUGGUCGCUGAGCAAUGUAUUUACGGCUAAGCACUGUAUUACCAUACAUACAUGCAUACAGAAGUGUACGUACAUUUGCGCACACGUUUAUGAGUGCGUGCGGAAUAAAAUUUCAUCAUACACUCGCCUAUACCCCUGAGGCAAGCAAAGUGUGAAGUGUAGUGUAGUGCAACGUGAAGUGAGCGGCAGUCGCCAUAGAAUGAAACAAAAAACUCGUCUAAUGAACACACCAGUGAAGCGCAACGAGCAGUAGAGCGAGGGGUGUCGUUGGCAUCGCACUCGGUCGCACUGUCGUGGCCUGCACACGCUCCUACACGAUCAUACUGUGCACAUUCAUUUGGAUUUGAAUGUGCCAACGUCUACCAGCAGCUACCGGUUUGGCACUGCUCAUUUCCGGCUUGUUUACGUUCGCCUGCGGACCAUUUGUGGAUUACACAUACAGUUGCAGUUGUCGCCUCAAGACUCAAACCAAAUAUUUUUCGGAUGAACAAAAAUGACCAGUUAUCAAAAUAAUACAUACAUAUGUAUACCAUAUAUUUAACUCUGGUAGCUCAAUAUAUACGAUAUAUACAUAUACAAACAUAGAUAAUUAAGCCACUAUGAAGAACUACUUUUAAGAAAUAUAAUUAAAUUGUAAUCAAAAUAUACAAAUACAGCACAGUUUUUAAUUUUUUCUUAAGAGGAUCUACAUAGAGCCACAUUUUGAGUACAAAAGUCGAGACAAACUGAGCCUACUGCUCGUGCUGCAAUUUCUAUUAUGUUAGAAAAUUAAUACGUCAGUGAUGUGGGUGUUGAAAUUUCGUUUCAUAUUCCACAAAAAUCAUCAAAAUCGGUUCAGAUUUACCGGAGUUAUGGCCAUUCAAAGUGUUGAUGUCACAAGAAGGGGAAUUCUCAGCCCGCAUUUCCUCGCAUUUGGAUGCGCAUAAAAACGUUAAUUAAGCUGGAAGUUGUGACUAUUUUUUGCUCUUAAUUUAAUUUGGAUAUCUCUUAAUGCAAAACAAGUUAGAAAAUACGAGUACUUUAUCAAAUUCUAUAAGAAAUUUCGAUUUCAAAUACCUCAUAUUAAUCAUUUAUUUUCCAAAUUGCGACCACUUCCGUUUUCCAAAUCAUAUACAUAUAUACAUGAAAUUGGUGUAGAAUUCUUCAGGCUACAAGAAUAUAUAAACGUUUUUACUAACUUCCCGGCUUGAUCAAAUUUUAUUGCAAAAAAACACGAAAUUGACUCUCAAACUGUCGGAAAGAAGGGCUUAUAAUUUAAAUAUUUGAAGUGUUAGAAUUCUGCAAAGUAUCUCAGAAGAUGCGCAAUUCUCUCAAGAUACCGUUAGCAAAAAAAAUCAAAUCAAAAUUCGCAUUAAAGCCGCUGUUUUUCGCAAUUUUCCCUUUGAAAUUCAAAAUACAAGUCGCAAAUUUGAAUGCCAAUGGAAAACCAUUAAUUUUUGCGAAAUUUUUGCCCACGUGCGAAAUACCGAACCCGCCUAGAUGCCUCCGUUCAGGAGUUAUUAACGUUUAACCACAUCCGUGUGUGUUUGCUGGUGUGCUGUUGUGCCUGUGUGUGGCGCGUGUGACAAGUGUAGCAUAUGCACGUGGGCAAAAAUUUCGCAAAAAUUAAUGGUUUUCCAUUGGCAUUCAAAUUUGCGACUUGUAUUUUUAAAUUCAAAGUGAAAAUUGCGAAAAACAGCGGCUUUAAUGCGAAUUUUGAUUUGAUUUUUUUUGCUAACGAUAUCUUGAGAGAAUUGCACAUCUUCUGAGAUACUUUGUAGAAUUCUAUCACUUCAAAUAUAUAAAUUAUAAGCCCUUCUUUCCGACAGUUUGAGAGUCAAUUUCGUGUUUUUUUGCAAUAAAAUUUGAUCAAGCCGGGAAGUUAGUAAAAACGUUUAUAUAUUCUUGUAGCCUGAAGAAUUCUACACCAAUUUCAUGUAUAUAUGUAUAUGUUUUGAAGAACGGAAGUGGUCGCAAUUUGGAAACUAAAUGAUUAAUAUGGGGUAUUUGACAUCGAAAUUUCUUAUAGAAUUUGAUAAAGUACUCGUAUUUUCUAACUUGUUUCGCAUUAAGAGAUAUUCAAAUUAAAUUAAGAGCAAAAAAUUGUCACAACUUCCAGCUUAAUUAACGUUUUUAUGCGCAUCCAAAUGCGAGAAAAUGCGGGCUGAGAAUUCCCCUUCUUGUGACAUCAACACUUUGAAUGGCCAUAACUCCGGUAAAUCUGAACCGAUUUUAAUGCCAUAUGAAAGAAAAUUUCAACAUCUACAGCAGUAUAACCCAUGAAAAAUUAGGAGAUUUUCGCCUGCCAUUCAAAACUAUUUAAGAUACGACCUUAC